ensembl:misc_RNA 7SK 7SK RNA
GGAUGUGAGAGUGAUCUAGCUGUGACACCUGUUACCCCAUUGAUUGCCAGGGUUGAUUUGGCUGAUCUGGCUGGCUAGGCGGGUGUUCCCUUCCUCCACACUACUCCAUGUGCAUCCUUCCCUAAGCUGUGCGUCUAGUGGAAGAGGAUGACCAUUCCCAACAGAGGAGGACCGGUCUGAGGUCAAGGAUAUAUGAGUAGCUGGGCUUCCAUUCUAAAACCUCCAAACAAGCUCUCAACAUAUAUAAAGGACUUAGAAUUCUCCCUAUCACAGAGUAAGCAUUAUGCAUUAGCUGCUGUUACUGUUGUUAUUAUUAUUACCUAUUUUUUACAUUACCUGGAUGUCAGGGGAGUUAG